rnacentral:rRNA from 1 species
AUACGGAGGAUCCGAGCGUUAUCCGGAUUUAUUGGGUUUAAAGGGAGCGUAGGUGGAUUGUUAAGUCAGUUGUGAAAGUUUGCGGCUCAACCGUAAAAUUGCAGUUGAAACUGGCAGUCUUGAGUACAGUAGAGGUGGGCGGAAUUCGUGGUGUAGCGGUGAAAUGCUUAGAUAUCACGAAGUACUCCGAUUGCGAAGGCAGCUCACUAGACUGUUACUGACACUGAUGCUCGAAAGUGUGGGUAUCAAACAGGAUAGAUACCCUGGUAGUCCGCACAGUAAACGAUGAAUACUCGCUGUUUGCGAUACACGGUAAGCGGCCAAGCGAAAGCGUUAAGUAUUCCACCUGGGGAGUACGCCGGCAACGGUGAAACUCAAAUGAAUUGACGGGG